rnacentral:rRNA from 1 species
UUAAAUUGAAGAGUUUGAUCAUGGCUCAGAUUGAACGCUGGCGGCAGGCCUAACACAUGCAAGUCGAACGGUAACAGGAAGCAGCUUGCUGCUUCGCUGACGAGUGGCGGACGGGUGAGUAAUGUCUGGGAAACUGCCUGAUGGAGGGGGAUAACUACUGGAAACGGUGGCUAAUACCGCAUAACGUCGCAAGACCAAAGAGGGGGACCUUCGGGCCUCUUGCCAUCAGAUGUGCCCAGAUGGGAUUAGCUAGUUGGUGAGGUAACGGCUCACCAAGGCGACGAUCCCUAGCUGGUCUGAGAGGAUGACCAGCCACACUGGAACUGAGACACGGUCCAGACUCCUACGGGAGGCAGCAGUGGGGAAUAUUGCACAAUGGGCGCAAGCCUGAUGCAGCCAUGCCGCGUGUAUGAAGAAGGCCUUCGGGUUGUAAAGUACUUUCAGCGGGGAGGAAGGUGUUGUGGUUAAUAACCGCAGCAAUUGACGUUACCCGCAGAAGAAGCACCGGCUAACUCCGUGCCAGCAGCCGCGGUAAUACGGAGGGUGCAAGCGUUAAUCGGAAUUACUGGGCGUAAAGCGCACGCAGGCGGUCUGUCAAGUCGGAUGUGAAAUCCCCGGGCUCAACCUGGGAACUGCAUUCGAAACUGGCAGGCUUGAGUCUUGUAGAGGGGGUAGAAUUCCAGGUGUAGCGGUGAAAUGCGUAGAGAUCUGGAGGAAUACCGGUGGCGAAGGCGGCCCCCUGGACAAAGACUGACGCUCAGGUGCGAAAGCGUGGGGAGCAAACAGGAUUAGAUACCCUGGUAGUCCACGCCGUAAACGAUGUCUACUUGGAGGUUGUGCCCUUGAGGCGUGGCUUCCGGAGCUAACGCGUUAAGUAGACCGCCUGGGGAGUACGGCCGCAAGGUUAAAACUCAAAUGAAUUGACGGGGGCCCGCACAAGCGGUGGAGCAUGUGGUUUAAUUCGAUGCAACGCGAAGAACCUUACCUGGUCUUGACAUCCACAGAACUUUCCAGAGAUGGAUUGGUGCCUUCGGGAACUGUGAGACAGGUGCUGCAUGGCUGUCGUCAGCUCGUGUUGUGAAAUGUUGGGUUAAGUCCCGCAACGAGCGCAACCCUUAUCCUUUGUUGCCAGCGAUUAGGUCGGGAACUCAAAGGAGACUGCCAGUGAUAAACUGGAGGAAGGUGGGGAUGACGUCAAGUCAUCAUGGCCCUUACGACCAGGGCUACACACGUGCUACAAUGGCGCAUACAAAGAGAAGCGACCUCGCGAGAGCAAGCGGACCUCAUAAAGUGCGUCGUAGUCCGGAUUGGAGUCUGCAACUCGACUCCAUGAAGUCGGAAUCGCUAGUAAUCGUGGAUCAGAAUGCCACGGUGAAUACGUUCCCGGGCCUUGUACACACCGCCCGUCACACCAUGGGAGUGGGUUGCAAAAGAAGUAGGUAGCUUAACCUUCGGGAGGGCGCUUACCACUUUGUGAUUCAUGACUGGGGUGAAGUCGUAACAAGGUAACCGUAGGGGAACCUGCGGUUGGAUCACCUCCUUACCUUAAAGAAGC